rnacentral:tRNA from 1 species
UGGCUCAGUUGGUAGAGCAUGGUGUUUGCAAUGCCAGGGUUGUGGGUACGAUUCCCAC